GCCACCCCUACCACAAACGUGUUCGUGUGUAUCCACGUGCACAUACACACACACACGCACAUGCACACACGUGCGCACACGCACUUGCAUCCUGCAGGGCCACUUAGCAACUCUCAAGUCAGGGCAGUUGGUGGCACUUGGGGCCAGGCCAUCAGUGCUGGGAGCACACAGCAGCUCUCCCCUUUCAAGGGCUGUUUGCUCAAGGCUCAGAGCUGCAGGGCAGGGCAGGGCUACAAACAGAGGAAGACUCUUCGAUGCCCAGAAGGAAUCCCUGUUUUCCAUCCCCUCCCACACGUGCCCAGUGGUCCUUGGAGGAUGGGAAGGCAGGAGGAGAGGGGGAGAGAGGGGUGCAGCCAACAUGGGAACAUGGACAGAGGGAUCCCCCCGGCGACGCGGAGCAAGGCUGAGACUCCAGUUUCUCCUCCAACUGUGAAGAUUUCCACACCCCACCUUGAACCUGGAAAUCCACUUAUGGGGACCAAUGGUCCUUCGGUGGCAGCUGGGUGCCAGGCAGGCCCAAGAACAUAACUGAAGAGUCUCCAGGUAUCUCCAGGAUGUGCAGCUCGAGAGGAGAAAAAAAAAAAGUGGAAAGCGGAGGCCAGGAAUGCACCUGCACUUUGCAUCUUACGACUGAAAUGCCCAGUCUGACCGAAAGGUAUUAUUCGGGCGAGGAAACAGAACAAGACGAGAGAUGUCGGAACAGGAGAGAGAAAAGGAACACGAGAGGCUACGCUGGAAGGAGGAUCAAACCACCUGCUGUGAGAUCAGGACUCUCCAGGAUGUAACGUGGGCCUGGAACAGGGGCCGGAAAGUGCAAGCUGAUGGCAAGGAGGCAGGAUGCUGCAGAGAGGGCUGCCAAGUGCCAGGGGAUUCGGAGCAGCGAGUGCUUGGAACGGUGCUGGAGAACAGAAGGAAACCCACCGGAGCACCCCCGAGGGAUGGCAGCUGGGAAAAGCAUGGACUGUGUGGCCAGGGGUGCUUGGGGUGGAGGUGGGGGGCUUCCCCAACAGCCCACACCCACCUCGAGGUUGCCACCAGGCAUCUACCCCCCUGCCUUCUCCCCCCGAUGGCAGCAGCCACAGCCCUGCGGCCUCCCUGUGGCACAUCUGUGGGCCACCGGCCUCGGAGCAAGGGCUUGGUCACCUGCUCUGGCCACACUGUGGCUUUGCCCCCUCUCCCCCUCCGGCCAGCCCGCACCCCCAUGCCCUGGCUUCUGCAUCCACUUCCUCCUGGCCGUUCCGAGCAGCAGCACCCCGGUUGCUCCCCUAUCUGGAGCGGGUGCUACCGUCCACCCAGCCUCAAGCUGUCCACCUUGUAUAUUCCCUUCCCUGCCCCUUGGGGAGCCUCCGAGAACCAGACACCCCAGAAUGUGCUGGCUGAAUGAAUAAAUGGCUCCUCUCUGUC